rnacentral:rRNA from 1 species
GACGAACGCUGGCGGCGUGCCUAAUACAUGCAAGUAGAACGCUGAAGGAGGAGCUUGCUCUUCUGGAUGAGUUGCGAACGGGUGAGUAACGCGUAGGUAACCUGCCUGGUAGCGGGGGAUAACUAUUGGAAACGAUAGCUAAUACCGCAUAACAGUAGAUGUUGCAUGACAUUUGCUUAAAAGGUGCAAUUGCACCACUACCAGAUGGACCUGCGUUGUAUUAGCUAGUUGGUGGGGUAACGGCUCACCAAGGCGACGAUACAUAGCCGACCUGAGAGGGUGAUCGGCCACACUGGGACUGAGACACGGCCCAGACUCCUACGGGAGGCAGCAGUAGGGAAUCUUCGGCAAUGGACGGAAGUCUGACCGAGCAACGCCGCGGGAGGGAAGAAGGUUUUCGGAUCGUAAAGCUCGGUUGUAAGAGAAGAACGAGUGUGAGAGUGGAAAGUUCACACUGUGACGGUAUCUUACCAGAAAGGGACGGCUAACUACGUG